rnacentral:rRNA from 1 species
AAGGCACGCCUGCCCAGUGAAUAAUUAAACGGCCGCGGUACCCUAACCGUGCAAAGGUAGCGUAAUCAUUUGUCUACUAAUUAUAGACCUGUAUGAAAGGCAAAAUGAGGAUUUAACUGUCUCUUAUAAUAAAUCAAUUAAACUGAUCUCCUAGUAAAAAAGCUAGAAUAAUAACAUAAGACCAGAAGACCCUGUGAAGCUUAAAUCAAACUAUUAAACCAUAUAAUAACUACUUUCGGUUGGGGCGACCUUGGAAAAAAAAAGAACUUCCAAGACCCAGCACAGCUGAUAAUUGAACCAAGUUACUCCAGGGAUAACAGCGCAAUCUUCUUCAAGAGCCCAUAUCAAAAAGAAGGUUUACGACCUCGAUGUUGGAUCAGGACAUCCUAAUGGUGCAGCCGCUAUUAAGGGUUCGUUUGUUCAACGAUUAACAGUCCUACGUGAUCUGA